UACGUAGGGAGCAAGCGUUGUCCGGAAUCAUUGGGCGUAAAGCGCGCGUAGGUGGCUUCGUAAGUCCGUUGUGAAAGUCAAAGGCUCAACCUUUGAAAGCCGAUGGAUACUGCGGAGCUAGAGUACGGAAGAGGCAGGUGGAAUUCCGGGUGUAGCGGUGGAAUGCGUAGAGAUCCGGAAGAACACCGGUGGCGAAGGCGGCCUGCUGGGCAGUGGCUGACGCUGAGGCGCGACAGCGUGGGGAGCAAACAGG
rnacentral:rRNA from 1 species